rnacentral:rRNA from 1 species
GAGAUAACUCCUACGGGAGGCAGCAGUGGGGAAUUUUGGACAAUGGGGGCAACCCUGAUCCAGCAAUGCCGCGUGAGUGAAGAAGGCCUUCGGGUUGUAAAGCUCUUUUGUCAGGGAAGAAACGGUAGUAGCUAAUAUCUAUUACUAAUGACGGUACCUGCAGAAUAAGCACCGGCUAACUACGUGCCAGCAUCCGCGGUAAUACGUAGGGUGCAAUCGUUAAUCGGAAUUACUGGGCGUAAAGCGUGCGCAGGCGGUUGUGUAAGUCAGAUGUGAAAUCCCCGGGCUCAACCUGGGAAUUGCAUUUGGGACUGGACGGCUAGAGUGUGGCAGAGGGGGGUAGAAUUCCACGUGUAGCAGUGAAAUGCGUAGAUAUGUGGAGGAACACCGAUGGCGAAGGCAGCCCCCCGGGAUAACACUGACGCUCAUGCACGAAAGCGUGGGGAGCAAACAGGAUUAGAUACCCGAGUAGUCCUCCACU